UGAAUACGAGACGCUAAGGCGUCGAAGUAGUGUAUGUCAUACUUCCAAGAAAAGCUUGCACUGUCAUAGAUAAAAAACGCCUGUACCAUAACCGACACAGGUGGGUAGGUAGAGUAUACUAAGGGGCGCGAGAUAACUCUCUCUAAGGAACUCGGCAAAAUAACUCCGUAACUUCGGGAGAAGGAGUGCCUUAUUCGUAAGGUUGCAAUAACAAGAUCCAAGCAACUGUUUAUCAAAAACACAGGUCUCCGCUAAGUCGUAAGACGAUGUAUGGGGGCUGACGCCUGCCCAGUGCCAGAAGGUUAAAGAAGUUGGUUAGCAAUUGCGAAGCUGAUAACUGAAGCCCUGGUGAACGGCGGCCGUAACGAUAACGGUCCUAAGGUAGCGAAAUUCCUUGUCGGGUAAGUUCCGACCCGCACGAAAGGCGUAAUGAUUUGGAUACUGUCUCGGAGAGGGGCUCGGUGAAAUAGACUUGUCUGUGAAGAUGGACUACCUGCACCAGGACAGAAAGACCCUAUGAAGCUUUACUGUAACUUGAAAUUGAAAUUGGACUUUAUUCGCGCAGUAUAGGUGGGAGGCGUUGAUUAUAAUCUUGUGGGAUUAUUGGAGCCAUCAGUGAGAUACCACACUUGUAAUGUUAGAUUUCUAACUUUGAAUCAUUAUCUGGUCAAAGAACAGUUUCAGGCGGGCAGUUUGACUGGGGCGGUCGCCUCCUAAACGGUAACGGAGGCGUACAAAGGUUUCCUCUGAACGGUUAGAAAUCGUAUCUAGAGUGUAAAGGCAUAAGGAAGCUUGACUGUGAGACCUACAAGUCGAGCAGGGACGAAAGUCGGUCUUAGUGAUCUGACGGUACUGAGUGGAAAGGCCGUCACUCAACGGAUAAAAGUUACUCUAAGGAUAACAGGCUGAUCUCCCCCAAGAGUUCACAUCAACGGGGAGGUUUGGCACCUCGAUGUCGGCUCAUCGCAUCCUGGGGCGGUAGUACGUCCCAAGGGUUGGGCUGUUCGCCCAUGAAAGCGGUACGCGAGCUGGGUUCAGAACGUCGUGAGACAGUUCGGUCCAUAUCCGGUGUAGGCGUUAGAAUAUUGAGAGGAGCCUUCUUUAGCACGAGAGGACCGAGAAGGACAUACCUCUGGUGUACCAGUUAUCGUGCCAACGGUAAACGCUGGGUAGCUAUGUAUGGAGUGGAUAACCGCUGAAAGCAUCUAAGUGGGAAGCCCACCUCAAGAUAAGUAUUCUCAUCAU
rnacentral:rRNA from 1 species